rnacentral:rRNA from 1 species
AGUGAACGUUGGCGGCGUGGAUUAGGCAUGCAAGUCGAGCGAGAACCGUAGCAAUACGGGGACAGCGGCGAAAGGGACAGUAAUGUGUAGGUACCUACCCCGGGGUCUGGGAUAGCUGCGGGAAACUGCAGGUAAUACCGGAUAAUGUCUUCGGACCAAAGGUGUGAUUCCACCUUGGGAGGGGCCUGCAUCCUAUUAGCUUGUUGGCGGGGUAACGGCCCACCAAGGCAACGAUGGGUAGCGGGUGUGAGAGCACGACCCGCGUCAUUGGGACUGAGAUACUGCCCAGACACCUACGGGGUGGCGACG